UGAUUAUAGUUAACAAUAAAUUAUUGCACAUUUCAAAAUAACUAGUGGAGCGAAAGCCUGUAAUCCUAGCACUUUGGGAGGCCAAGGUGGGUGGAUUACUUGAGGUCAGGGGUUCGAAACCAGGCUGAACAUCAUGGUGAAACUCUGUCUCUACUAAAAAUCCACAAAUAAGCUGGGCUUGGUGGCGGGUGCCUGUAAUCCCAGCUACUCAGGAGGCUAAGGCAGGAGAAUAGCUUGAACCCAGGAGGCGGAGGUUGCA
rnacentral:lncRNA from 1 species